CUUGGCACUUGAGGAAUUCUUUGUCCCCUAGGUUCAGUUUUGAUCAAUCAAAGAAUUCCCCAGUACUGAGGG
rnacentral:pre_miRNA from 1 species